rnacentral:rRNA from 1 species
CGCGGCCUAUCAGCUUGUUGGUGAGGUAACGGCUCACCAAGGCAGCGACGGGUAGCUGGUCUGAGAGGACGAUCAGCCACACUGGGACUGAGACACGGCCCAGACUCCUACGGGAGGCAGCAGCAGGGAAUAUUGCACAAUGGGCGAAAGCCUGAUGCAGCGACGCCGCGUGAGGGAUGAAGGCCCUCGGGUUGUAAACCUCUUUCAGGAGGGACAAAGCGAAAGUGACGGUACCUCCAGAAGAAGCCCCGGCCAACUACGUGCCAGCAGCCGCGGUAAUACGUAGGGGGCGAACGUUGUCCGGAUUUAUUGGGCGUAAAGAGCUCGUAGGCGGCUCAGCAAGUCGGCCGUGAAAGCCUGAGGCUCAACCUCAGGAGGCCGGUCGAAACUGCUGUGGCUAGGGUCCGGUAGAGGAGAGUGGAAUUCCCGGUGUAGCGGUGAAAUGCGCAGAUAUCGGGAGGAACACCAGUAGCGAAGGCGGCUCUCUGGGCCGGUACCGACGCUGAGGAGCGAAAGCUAGGGGAGCAAACAGGAUUAGAUACCCUGGUAGUCCACGCCGUAAACGGUGGGUACUAGGUGUGGCGUCUUUAUCAACGGAUGCCGUGCCGAAGCUAACGCAUUAAGUACCCCGCCUGGGGAGUACGG